rnacentral:piRNA from 1 species
UUGGCGUGGGAUGCAGGCAAGACAG